UAGCAUAGAAAUGAAAAUAAAGACAAAUCAGUAAAAAGGAACAAUAAAAAUUGAAGACGUACAUGAGAUAGAGAGAGAAAGCGAGAGGAGAGGAGAGGAGAGGGAAAGAAAGGGAAAGCCUUCGUGUCUGUAUGGUCUUCGGUGGUUGAGAGUCUUGAUACAAAGAAGAAGGACAGAUUUGAACAGACCAAAUGGCUGAUGAACAAAUAGAUUAUGAAGAUGAGGAGUAUGGAGGGGCUCAGAAGAUGCAAUAUCAGGGAAGUGGUGCCAUACCUGCCCUUGCAGAGGAAGAGAUGGGGGAAGAUGAUGAGUAUGAUGAUCUCUAUAAUGAUGUCAAUGUUGGAGAGAAUUUCCUGCAGAUGCACCAAUCUGAGGUUCCGCCACCCACUACUAGUAUUAGCAGCGGAGGAUUCCAAGCACAGAAUGUUAAUGAGCCAAGAGUUGGAACAGGGGGUUCACAAGGACUAAACAUCCCUGGGGGUGUUGUUGAAGGGAAAUAUUCAAAUGUGGAGACACAUUUUCCUGAACAGAAAGAAGUUCCCAUGGGUGCUAAGGGGGCUGAAAUGGGAUCUGUUGGCUACCCAGAUGGAUCUGUUACACAAAAAGGAAGGGUUAUGGAGGUGACUCAUGAUUCUCAGGCCCGAAAUAUAGGAUUUCAAGGAUCAUCAUCAGUGCCCUCCAAUGUUGUGGUAGAUCCUUCUGACAUGAGUAGAAAAAUUCCCAAUGAGCCUGCACCUGUUCCAAAUACUAGCAUCAGUGGUCCAAGAGGAAUUCAACAGUUGCCAGGUAAUCAAAUUAGUAUCAAUAUAGAUGUCAAUCGUCCUGGGAUGAAUGAAAAUCAAAUCCGGCCACCAGUAGAAAAUGGUUCAACUGUGUUGUUUGUUGGGGAAUUACACUGGUGGACAACCGAUGCAGAGCUUGAGAGUGUUUUAUCUCAAUAUGGAAAGGUGAAGGAGAUCAAGUUCUUUGAUGAGAGAGCUAGUGGUAAAUCUAAAGGCUUUUGCCAAGUGGAAUUUUACGAUGCAGCUGCUGCUGCUGCAUGCAAAGAGGGAAUGAAUGGGCAUGUUUUCAAUGGACGACCUUGUGUUGUGGCCUUUGCUUCUCCACAGACAUUAAAGCAGAUGGGGGCUUCAUACAUGAACAAGACCCAGGGCCAACCUCAGACACAAAAUCAAGCAAGGAGGCCUAUGAAUGAUGGGGUGGGAAGGGGUGGUAAUAUGAAUUAUCAAGGUGGAGACGCUGGGAGGAACUUUGGAAGAGGUGGGUGGGGACGAGGUGGACAGGGAAUGAUGAAUAGAGGUCCUGUGGGUGGAGGACCAGUGAGGGGAAGAGGAGGAACUAUGGGCGCCAAGAAUAUGGUUGGAGGUGGUGUUGGAGUAGGAAAUGGUGCCAAUGGUGGAGGCUUUGGACAAGGCCUGGCAGGUCCUGCAUUUGGUGGACCUGUUGCUGGUAUGAUGCCUCCACAAAAUAUGAUGGGAGGUGGAUUUGAUCCAACUUAUAUGGGCCGAGGGGCUGGUUAUGGAGGCUUUGCUGGCCCUGGUUUUCCUGGCAUGCUUCCAUCAUUUCCAGCAGUUAAUGCAAUGGGACUUGCGGGAGUGGCUCCUCAUGUCAACCCAGCCUUCUUUGGCCGUGGAAUGGCACCUAAUGGUAUGGGAAUGAUGGGUCCCUCUGCAAUGGAUGGACCAAAUGCUGGAAUGUGGUCUGAUACAAGCAUGGGUGGAUGGGGAGAAGAGCCUGGCAGGAGAACAAGGGAGUCAAGCUAUGGUGGUGAUGAUGGAGCUUCUGAAUAUGGCUAUGGAGAGGUGAAUAAUGAGAAGGGAACACGUUCCAGUGCUGCAUCUAGGGAAAAGGAGCGGGCUCCUGAACGUGAUUGGUCUGGGAACUCUGAUAGGAGGCAUCGUGAUGAGAGGGAACAUGACUGGGACAGGUCAGAAAGAGAGCACAGGGAGCACAGAUACCGGGAAGAAAAAGAUAGUUACAGAGAGCAUCGGCGAAGAGAGCGUGACUCUGGUUAUGAGGAUGACUGGGAUAGAGGGCAAUCUUCUUCAAGAUCUCGGAGCAGGUCCCGAGCUGUGCCUGAAGAAGAUUACAGGCCUCGAUCAAGGGAUGCAGAUUAUGGAAAGAGGAGACGCCUACCAUCAGACUGACACUAUGUUUCUGUUAUUCUUUCUUGGAUAGGUUUGCGAAGUUCCAGCGCUUUAUAUUUGCUCUCUUGGCCUGUCUCCAUUGUGCUGAUAUAAUGUCUGCUCCAUUGCUUGGAGUUUAGCUGCAUUGACCUCAAAUGGAUUGGACGACAUCUUGAGGAAAGAAGUAAGUUCUACUUGUAUGGAUAAUAGAGAGGAAUAGAUACUGUAUUGCUUUUCUACUGCAUUCCAAAGAACAUCUUUAGAUGAAACUCAAUAUUUGUGUGCUGAAAAAACAUUUGCAACUUGCAGUUGCAUACCAAUGUGGAUAUUUUUUUGCGGGGAUGAACUUAUAUACCUGCAUCUGACCAUCCUACUGGAAAUGGAAUGGGCAGCUCAUUGUUUUCAUGAUUGAAUCUAUCUGUGUUAGUUGCCCGGAGGAAGAUUUGUUAGAUGGGCUGCUUUCAUUGGAUUUCCUCCAUAAUGGUUUUGAUCUACCAAGUUUACAAAAGAAGCUUUUGACUGUUUGGCCUACACCCUUUUUCCACAGGCACCACAUAAGACUGUAAAUAAUUCUCCUGCAAGAAUAUGUCUAGAAAGACUUACGUUCUUGUAGAUGUAAAGUAUAGAUAAUCAGUGAUAUGUUUUGUGGUAUAACCAUCUUUUCUAUUUCAUGUAAAUGCGUAGAUGUAUUAGGCUGAUAUCAUGUAAUUGCCUCCUCCAUUUUGUAUUUUGACUAUUUUCUGGUUUUGUAUAAGCCUUGUUCCAAUUUUGAGGGCUGACUUCCGCACAUGUCAUGACUUGUAAUUUCUCUUGUUAUAUCUGUGUUAGAAGAGUUGGACAUGUGUCAAUAAUACAUUGUAAUGAUGGGUAGAUGUCCCCACUGUAUUUAGGUCAUUGUAACAUUUAUAAAACCCAGUGUUUUAAGGAUAUUCAUCCUGAAAGCUUAAAGGAUUUCAGUUCGGCCUGAUUGUUUAUUAGGAGCAAUGAGUUAUGAAUUUGCUGCAAUGUUGCAGAUGCACUGGAACCGGAAGAGUUUUGAUGUCUUGGUCUUUUUUUCUCCCUCUUUGGAGGCCUGAUCCAAUGCGGCCCGUGUAUUCUUUGUUUUGUCUUUGAGAAUCAAGUUUUGGGAUUGCUUAUGUAUUGUUCUUGAUUUGUUGUACAAAUCACGUUUUUCUGGUUUGUAUAGUAUGGUUUAUAGCUUUGCUUAUUAGUCCUCAGUUUUCUUGUAUUUCUGUAUGAAGAGUAGCGGCUUCCUUCUUGAAGAUUAACACUUCACACCUGUUGUGAUAGACACCAUCUGAUGAGAAUAUGUACUCGCCUUGUUUUUUCAUUGUUUUUAUUUCCUCUUCUCAUGUACAUUGCAAGGGUUUUCUGUAGUAACGUGUUAGUUAGCUCAA